GCAAACUUGGUCAUUUAGAGGAAGUAAAAGUCGUAACAAGGUUUCCGUAGGUGAACCUGCGGAAGGAUCAUUAUCGAGUAUUGAAUGGGUUGUAGCUGGCCUUCCGAGGCAUGUGCACGCCCUACUCAUCCACUCUACACCUGUGCACUUACUGUGGGUUUCAGAUCGUGAAACGGGGCCUGGUUAACGGGCUCGGGAAGCGUCUGUGGCCUGCGUUUACUACAAACGCUGUAAAAGUCUUAGAAUGUGUAUUGCGAUGUAACGCAUCUAUAUACAACUUUCAGCAACGGAUCUCUUGGCUCUCGCAUCGAUGAAGAACGCAGC
rnacentral:misc_RNA from 1 species